GGAGAGAUGGCUGAGUGGUUGAUAGCUCCGGUCUUGAAAACCGGUAUAGUUCUAGGAACUAUCGAGGGUUCGAAUC
rnacentral:tRNA from 1 species